CUUAGGAUUGGCAAAGUGAGAAUAAAUGAAUAAAAAGGAUUGCUAACUUGCUUUCUUGAGGUAUGUCCAAUUUUUGAGCUUGCUUUUGCCAUCUUCUGUCAACUAGCUCUCAGGAGGGAGCAAUGGCUGACUGAAAAUACAAUGACCUGAGUGGAUUCUGGCAACCUGCUGUAGUUGAGCUGAAGAUGGAAAGGUCUUUGACUGUACUUUCCUGAAGUAAAAGCUGAGGAGUCAUCUAGUGUUCAAAAGAAAAGAGUCUGCACUCUUGGAAAGGCAGUGAGCCUCUUCCUAACUCCAGGCAAGUUGUUAUGGAAACCAUCAACAUGGCUACAGAAAUGGGAAGGAAUCAUAGAUUUCGUCAACAUGUACAUAAUUUACUUUAACCAAAAAAAAAAGGAAAUUACAUGAAAUGUCAGGCCCUGUUACUGAGAUACUUUAACCCUGACAGAGGAAGGAUCCUAGAAGGGCUCUCAGCUGAUCAUCUGGCCUUUAAGCCAAGGUCACCCUGAGUAAAAGUACAUCAGGAAAUUCUGUCCCUCUUCAGCUGAGAAUGGUUAGUGCACAAUGCCCACCAAUGACUUUCAUUUGUUUCCAUUUUGUUGAACUCAUGUGAUCUGCCAGAGGAAGAGUCAUACUGUUUCUUCACUCUAGUUUCACGUCUUGUUCUCACACAUUGACAUAGCAUUUAGAAUUCAUUCCUGUUUAUAAGCAAAGGUGUUUGGGGAACAUUCCAGCCCUGGUAGCUCUCUAAGACAACAGUGGGCAUAGACGUUUCUGCCUCAAAAACAAUGUGUAACAGGAACUUUCAUAUAACAAGGUAUAUGGUUAGCGUCUUAAUUUUUUUCCAUCCCUUUGACAGAAUAAAAUAUGUCUAUAUUGUUUGGUAAAUUUGGAGAAAAAGGGUGAAAAUAGCAGUGUGUAGAAAGAAAGCUGUAGGAGGAAAGAAAGAAAGCUGUGCUUGAGAAAGAUGUAGGAGACUCUACUAAUUGUUCCUAGGUUUCAUUUUACUGGUUUAAAAUUAAAAUACACAAUACACGCUGAGCAACCACUUCUUCAGAAAUCCUCUUGAAACUCAGUGCAUUCUAGUGGCUGCACAUAGAAGGAUGGAGUAAACUGGAGGAUUUAAACCAUGUUACCCUGCAAUUCUUCAUGUUUCAUUAUGUGAGUCAUAUAUAUGGAAGGUGGGAGAACCUGACCAUAACCUUUCUCUUUUUUUGUCUUGUUUUUUCCCUUUUUCUUCAAACUCACAAAAAUGUCACCUAACCAGCUGAACUGUAUUUUUAAUAAAUAAUUCAGCAAUCUUAA